AUGACCGAAGGAUUGUUGAAUUUGAAGUUUUACUGUCCAAUUUAAGUUCAUGUCAAUCGUGCCAAUUAGGGCCAAUUCCUUUACCAUCUCUAAAUAUUGUUGGAGAAUUGAGGAAAGGAUUGAGUGGAUACUUGUAUGUUAAUUGCCAAAAUCCGGAUUGCGGUGCGGUAAACAAAGCCUUUGACAAAGGCUCUUACGGUAAAACGCACCACAUCAAGUCCACACAAAGCUUAAGCGUGGGACAUGUUUAGAUAUUGCAAAGCAGGAUUCUCUGGAAGCUCAGAAAAGCAUGGGUGAGAGUAUUUGUGAUCUUGGUGUAACGCCAUUGCCAGAUGCAUCACCAUCGUUUGCUGCUGUCCACGGAGCCAGUGUCCUGGGACGACAGUGAUAUAUCGAACAAUGAUGAACCAGACAAUGUGAUGGACUCCAUACCAC